GUUAAGGUUAAUUUAUUAUUUCAGAAAGAAAAACUUUUUCUAUAGAGAGUAGCCUAGGUGUACAGUGUUCAUGAAGUCUACAGUGGUGCAGAGUCAUGCCUUAGGCCUUCCCAUUCACUCUCCACCCACUCACUGGCUCACCCAAAGCAACUUCUAGUCCUGCAAGCUUUAUUCAUGAUUUUUGGAAUGUUUGAAGACAAACAUUGCCGUGGAGAUCACCUGGUAGCUUUCUGAGCAGGAGGCUGUGGACUGAGGGGAGCCAUCCACUCUGCCGAGAGCUUGAGAAAAUGAAGACUGAAAACAGAGCACUGGAGGUCGUUCAUACGCAAAAAUGCUUUCCCCUCGGAAUUGUCUCCAGCUCCUUCACCUCUUGGUUGUAGGUACAGACAGCAGAGACAAGAAGAGCCUUGAAGAGGCAGCCACACAUUGUGAUGAACAUCAAAUGGAUCCACGGCUCUGCGGAGGACCCAAGACAACUUGCUUGAAUUGUUAAGACCUUAUAUGAGGUCUCACUAUGCUGCCCUGGCUGGUCUCAAACUCCUAGACUCAAGAGAUCUGCCUGCCUCCCAAAGUGCUGGGAUUACGGAGAUGACCCUCUGCACCUGGCUUCAGUCACUCUUUGAUGACUGAGGACAAUCCAACUUUCUUCCUGGGAGAUAACGAUCCUCAGGUUUGGAUCCUGCAAGUCUUUUUUCUCUGCAUUCACACACGUGUUUAUAGCCGUG
rnacentral:lncRNA from 1 species